CUCCUCGGAAGUCCUCGUGUUGCAUCCC
rnacentral:rRNA from 1 species